rnacentral:rRNA from 1 species
CCUACGGGGGGCAGCAGUGAGGAAUAUUGGGCAAUGGUCGGGAGACUGAACCAGCCAAGCCGCGUGAGGGAUGAAGGUACAGAGUAUCGUAAACCUCUUUUGUCAGGGAACAAAGGCGGGGACGUGUCCCCGGAUGAGUGUAACUGAAGAAAAAGCAUCGGCUAACUCCGUGCCAGCAGCCGCGGUAAUACGGAGGCUGCGAGCGUUAUCCGGAUUUAUUGGGGUUAAAGGGUGCGCAGGAGGUCUGUUAAGUCAGCGGUCA